CCUUCGAUAGCUCAGUUGGAAGAGCGUGGGACUGUAAUUGGAAACCAGGAUUGUACCCCCAAUCCCUGAGAUCAUCCCAAGGUCACUGGUUCGAUCCCGGUUCGAAGGA
rfam:Trametes versicolor FP-101664 SS1 unplaced genomic scaffold TRAVEscaffold_9, whole genome shotgun sequence.